UGCUUAACACAUGCAAGUCGAACGGAAAGGCCCUGCUUUUGUGGGGUGCUCGAGUGGCGAACGGGUGAGUAACACGUGAGUAACCUGCCCUUGACUUUGGGAUAACUUCAGGAAACUGGGGCUAAUACCGGAUAGGAGCUCCUGCUGCAUGGUGGGGGUUGGAAAGUUUCGGCGGUUGGGGAUGGACUCGCGGCUUAUCAGCUUGUUGGUGGGGUAGUGGCUUACCAAGGCUUUGACGGGUAGCCGGCCUGAGAGGGUGACCGGCCACAUUGGGACUGAGAUACGGCCCAGACUCCUACGGGAGGCAGCAGUGGGGAAUAUUGCACAAUGGGCUGAAGCCUGAUGCAGCAACGCCGCGUGCGGGAUGACGGCCUUCGGGUUGUAAACCGCUUUCGCCUGUGACGAAGCGUGAGUGACGGUAAUGGGUAAAGAAGCACCGGCUAACUACGUGCCAGCAGCCGCGGUGAUACGUAGGGUGCGAGCGUUGUCCGGAUUUAUUGGGCGUAAAGGGCUCGUAGGUGGUUGAUCGCGUCGGAAGUGUAAUCUUGGGGCUUAACCCUGAGCGUGCUUUCGAUACGGGUUGACUUGAGGAAGGUAGGGGAGAAUGGAAUUCCUGGUGGAGCGGUGGAAUGCGCAGAUAUCAGGAGGAACACCAGUGGCGAAGGCGGUUCUCUGGGCCUUUCCUGACGCUGAGGAGCGAAAGCGUGGGGAGCGAACAGGCUUAGAUACCCUGGUAGUCCACGCUGUAAACGGUGGGUACUAGGUGUGGGGUCCAUUCCACGGGUUCCGUGCCGUAGCUAACGCUUUAAGUACCCCGCCUGGGGAGUACGGCCGCAAGGCUAAAACUCAAAGGAAUUGACGGGGCCCCGCACAAGCGGCGGAGCAUGCGGAUUAAUUCGAUGCAACGCGUAGAACCUUACCUGGGUUUGACAUGGAUCGGGAGUGCUCAGAGAUGGGUGUGCCUCUUUUGGGGUCGGUUCACAGGUGGUGCAUGGCUGUCGUCAGCUCGUGUCGUGAGAUGUUGGGUUAAGUCCCGCAACGAGCGCAACCCUUGUUCACUGUUGCCAGCACGUUAUGGUGGGGACUCAGUGGAGACCGCCGGGGUCAACUCGGAGGAAGGUGGGGAUGACGUCAAGUCAUCAUGCCCCUUAUGUCCAGGGCUUCACGCAUGCUACAAUGGCUGGUACAGAGAGUGGCGAGCCUGUGAGGGUGAGCGAAUCUCGGAAAGCCGGUCUCAGUUCGGAUUGGGGUCUGCAACUCGACCUCAUGAAGUCGGAGUCGCUAGUAAUCGCAGAUCAGCAACGCUGCGGUGAAUACGUUCCCGGGGCUUGUACACACCGCCCGUCAAGUCAUGAAAGUUGGUAACACCCGAAGCCGGUGGCCUAACCGUUGUGGGGGAGCCGUCGAAGGUGGGACUGGUGAUUAGGACUAAGUCAUAACA
rnacentral:rRNA from 1 species